rnacentral:rRNA from 2 species
GACGACGCUGGCGGCGUGCCUAAUACAUGCAAGUCGAGCGGACCUCUUCGGAGGUCAGCGGCGGACGGGUGAGUAACACGUGGGCAACCUGCCUGUAAGACUGGGAUAACUCCGGGAAACCGGAGCUAAUACCGGAUAUUAUGUCAAACCGCAUGGUUUGACAUUCAAAGACGGUUUCGGCUGUCACUUACAGAUGGGCCCGCGGCGCAUUAGCUAGUUGGUGAGGUAAUGGCUCACCAAGGCAACGAUGCGUAGCCGACCUGAGAGGGUGAUCGGCCACACUGGGACUGAGACACGGCCCAGACUCCUACGGGAGGCAGCAGUAGGGAAUCUUCCGCAAUGGACGAAAGUCUGACGGAGCAACGCCGCGUGAGUGAUGAAGGUUUUCGGAUCGUAAAACUCUGUUGUCAGGGAAGAACAAGUGCCGGAGUAACUGCCGGCACCUUGACGGUACCUGACCAGAAAGCCACGGCUAACUACGUGCCAGCAGCCGCGGUAAUACGUAGGUGGCAAGCGUUGUCCGGAAUUAUUGGGCGUAAAGCGCGCGCAGGCGGUUUCUUAAGUCUGAUGUGAAAGCCCCCGGCUCAACCGGGGAGGGUCAUUGGAAACUGGGAAACUUGAGUGCAGAAGAGGAGAGUGGAAUUCCACGUGUAGCGGUGAAAUGCGUAGAGAUGUGGAGGAACACCAGUGGCGAAGGCGACUCUCUGGUCUGUAACUGACGCUGAGGCGCGAAAGCGUGGGGAGCGAACAGGAUUAGAUACCCUGGUAGUCCACGCCGUAAACGAUGAGUGCUAAGUGUUAGAGGGUUUCCGCCCUUUAGUGCUGCAGCUAACGCAUUAAGCACUCCGCCUGGGGAGUACGGUCGCAAGACUGAAACUCAAAGGAAUUGACGGGGGCCCGCACAAGCGGUGGAGCAUGUGGUUUAAUUCGAAGCAACGCGAAGAACCUUACCAGGUCUUGACAUCCUUUGCCACUUCUAAAAGAUAA